rnacentral:ncRNA from 1 species
UGUCUCCUCCACCCUCCUCUAAAGGUGGAUUAAACCCGGGGUUCAUCCCCCGGGUUUUUUUUC